CCUCCACAAAGUUAUGCAAUACUAAAUCAUGAUCUAGAUGUGGAACCAGACAGAACAAACUCUCGUUUAAUCAGAGAGAGAAAGACAACAGAAGAAGCCGCUGGGUCAACAUGAAUGUACUGAUCCAGGUCACUGAUCUAUAUAUAUAACAUAUUAUAGAUCAGUGAUCCAGGUCCUUCACUCCAGAGGUCACGAGGUCACCGUGGUGUGAACUGCCAGCAGCUGAUAAGUCAAGGAGCAUCAUAAUGCACCGCACUGCAAAUCCAUAAUAGUGACCCUACCAAUAAUAGCAGCGCCCUCUCUUGGAUAGACUACGUCAUGUGACAUGAGGAUGCUUCUCAUUUACAUACAGACUCAUAUUAAAUGCCGUGGUACUCGUAUCACUCUUUAGACGUGAUGGCAUUUUUGCUAGCAGUGGUGUUGGCAGUAGGAGGAGCUGUGGUUCUUUUCUUACACUAUUUGUGUUUUAGAACGUGCAGGAAACAGAAAUCAAAAUAUGAGUGAUACACUGAUAAACAAUAAAUGAUAUUCAGUAAUACUCUC